UACGUAGGGUGCAAGCGCUGUCCGGAAUUAUUGGGCGUAAAGAGCUCGUAGGCGGUCUGUCGCGUCUGCUGUGAAAACUCAGGGCUUAACCCUGAGCUUGCAGUGGGUACGGGCAGACUAGAGUGCGGUAGGGGAGACUGGAAUUCCUGGUGUAGCGGUGAAAUGCGCAGAUAUCAGGAGGAACACCGGUGGCGAAGGCGGGUCUCUGGGCCGUAACUGACGCUGAGGAGCGAAAGCGUGGGGAGCGAACAGG
rnacentral:rRNA from 1 species